UACGGAGGAUGCAAGCGUUAUCCGGAUUUAUUGGGCGUAAAGCGUCCGCAGGUGGCUAUUCAAGUCUGCUGUCGAAGCUCGGAGCUUAACUCCGAAUCGGCGGUGGAAACUGAACAGCUAGAGUGCAGUAGGGGUAGAGGGAAUUCCCAGUGUAGCGGUGAAAUGCGUAGAGAUUGGGAAGAACACCGGUGGCGAAAGCGCUCUACUGGACUGCAACUGACACUCAGGGACGAAAGCUAGGGGAGCGAAUGGG
rnacentral:rRNA from 1 species